GGUAGGCAGGCAGGUGAUGGGAGGAUGGGAUGGGGGUGUCAACAUUGUGGCAAGUGAACAAGUGCUCCAUGAUGUUGCUUAGUUGAUUCCAUCCAUCCAUCGCCCAGAUACCAGAAUAAAAUCAAUCCACAAAUAUCGUAUCCAUUUAUUUGGAGCUCUGUCUAUGGAAAUCUGUCUGCUUCGUUAGUUACAUGAUUAAUUGCUAAACUGUUAGGCGUACCAGCCAAUCAGGGAGCGGAAUUGGACUGGCUGGAGAGAAGACCGGUGUUGAUCAAAAAAAGUUUGGACUUGGCUUCCGCAUUUGCCUUGUGAUUUUGUUUCAGGUUAGACUUGCAAGAGAGUAUAUGCUCUGAAUUUGGGGGGGAAAAUCAAGGACAACCAUGUACAGAAGAAAGCAGAUACUUGUAGCAGAAUUCAUCACCGAGCUGUCAACAGAAUCAGCAAGGACAUCUUUUUUCGAAUAAAUCAGCAGGGAUGUCAGCAGAAAGGACUCUGAGGAAGGAAGGGGAGCGCAGGAGGCAAUCUGAUUGCCCAAUUCGCCCUCCUCGAUCACCAGGCAAGAACUUGGAGGAGCACACAAGAAACACAUGCAAGAAGCUCUGCGGAAUUCAGAGGUAAACAGGCCAAGAGGAUAGGACACGAACCUUCAGAAACUCAGAAGGCAGUAGCCUCGGUAUCCUUCAGCCGUUGAACAGGCAGCAGCUUCAGCCCUCGGUGGUUCCUCCCUAAUCCCGAGAAGAGAGCGUGGAGGAUGACGACGACGACGACGAUGGCAACGAAGAAGACGAAGAUGGAGGCGAGGACUAAACUAUCUGGCUCUGGCCCUGCUGAUAGGAGAGAGGACAAGUGGCCACCACGGUGAUGAGGAAAAACUGAAGAGGAGGGGGAGCUGCAAAACGUG